GCUGAGGUAGCCAAGUUGGUCACGGCGGGCGCCUGAAGAGCGUCAAAUGCAGGUUCGAUUCCUGCCCUCAGCACCC
rnacentral:tRNA from 1 species